CAUGAUGAUACAAUGAGGGACUAUGAUUUAUUUGUUAGUAAUGCGACUGCUAACAUAGGCCAAAGGAGUAGGGAUAUUAUAUCGGAGUUUGAACUUUAUACUAGUGAGAAAGUGGCACCUAGAACUGAACAAUUUGAUGUUUUGGGUUGGUGGAAGCGUAAUGCUAGUAAGUAUCCUACCUUGCAACGCAUUGCAAGGGAUAUUUUGGCUAUUCCUAUGACAACCGUUGCCUCAGAGUCGGCUUUUAGCACUAGUGGGAGAUUGUUGAGUCCACAUCGUAGCCGUCUUCAUCAUGAUACCUUAGAAGCAUUGAUGUGUGGGCAGAAUUGGUUAUGGAGCGAACUUAAAAGUGUAUUAAAAGAUGCUACCAUUCAAAACGUUCUUGAUGAUUAUGAAGAAGAUGAAUUGGAGGAAAGUCAUGCCAUGGAGCUUUCAGACUAAUGGAUAGGACCAAACUCAAGCAAACUGAGGUGGACUGUGAGUUCCUGAAGAAGUGCUGUGAAACACUGACUGAUGAAAAUAGAAGGCUACAAAAAGAGCUUCAAGAACUGAAAGCAUUGAAACUAGCCCAACCCUUGUAUAUGCAUAUGCCAGUGAACAUGAUGAUACAAUGAAGGAGCUAUUUGUCAACUCAAAGUUAUAAACUUCUUAUGCUUUCUUUUCUUAUUUGCAAUUUUUAUGUUUUGAUAUAUGAAUGUGUUAUGAAGUUUAGAUACGGUAUGACUCUAUUAUGAUAUAUAAAUGAAACUUUCUUGGUUUCCAUUUAUCACA